AAGAGUUCUAACCCCUAGAAUUCGACUAGCCUCAUGCCGAUCAGGUUUCACCAAGAACCUGACUCCAUCCUCUUAAAAUCUUUUUUGAACUUCUGAAUUCUCUCUUUUUGGACAUCCCUCACCUUUGUCUAGAUCUGAUUAGACUUUGUCUUAAGCACCAAAGCCUUGUCCUAAGACUAAGAGGGGAUGUAAAAGAGAAAGGAUAAGCAAAUGAGAGAAAAUGGAAAGCAAAUUGGAA
rnacentral:lncRNA from 1 species